GUGGGGGGUUGUAAAGAAAUUUCCUUUCCCGAGUCGCUUUAGGGGACUACAGAAUGUUCUUCACAUUUGACGGAUGCAAGGGUGAAUCCUUGGUCACGUCCAAAGCGAUUUAUGAAGGUUGGGAAGGGGGAGGGAGAUGCCGCCCAGGAAUACGCCCCUCGAACACAGACGUUAAAGUAACAGCGCGCUCUAGGAAUGUUUAUCGAAUCCAAGUCCUUGACAAACUGCAGACCAGCGGAUGCAUUACUGGAAGAAUGCCAAAUACACUGACUAAGCAGAUGAAUAAAAUGCAUCCUGUCCUUGAACUUGUAUAUAAAGGAGUAUCUAUGCUGUCUGUUUUUGUUUUCAAAGCUAUCGCCGGCUUUUGUGUAGUGCUAGUCUUCCCUUGCUGUAAGUAAAAUAACCAUGUUUAUGAUUGAUCCACUCUGAAGUAAUUGUUGCUUUUUUAAGAGGGAAUGAAAAGGAGCUCGACAAUAAUUAUAAUGUUGUGGACACAACUCAGCACAUCACGAGAACCAUCCUCCCCUCCAUACACUCUGCUUAUACUUAUUGCUGCUUCAGUAAAGUGGCCAGCAUAAUCAAAGACUCCACUCACCCCAGACAUUCCCUUUUCUCCCCGUCCCCAACCCCCUUUGGGCAGAAGAUAUAAAAGCACAUACCACCAGGCUCAAAGGCUGCUUCUACCCCACUGUUAUUGAUUGGAUGGUCCCCUAAUGUGAUAAGGUGGACUCCACUUCUAUGAAAUCACUGAUCUGUUCCACAACCUAUGGACUCACUUUCUAGGAAUCUUCUUGAUAUUUAUUGCUUACUUAUUUAUUACUAUUUUUUUCUUUCUUUUUGUAUUUGCACAGUUUUAUUUUGUAUUGUAACUUCAAAUAUUAAAGUAAUUCAAAGGAAGACACAGGAGUCUAAAAUGGGUCUAACUUCGAGUUUAUGUUAAGCGAGGUGUGGUAGCGUGAUUUCGUGUGAAAUUCAUGUAUUUAUACAUAUAACUCGUAAUGAAUUACUGAAACAAACAAGAAUGCUUAAUCAAACAGUAUAUUUACAAGAUUACUCAAAUAUUACUGAAAUAUUAAAUGCACAAAUUUGUUGUCUAUUGCACAGUAGUUGAAUGUCCAAGUUGGAGCGGUCUUCCAUUAAUUCUAAUAUGGUUAUUGUUCUAUUAUGUAUUUAUUGUGAAUGCCCAUGAGAAAAUGAAUCUCAGAAUUGUGUAAGUUGACA